AGUGAACGCUGGCGGUAGGCCUAACACAUGCAAGUCGAACGGCAGCACAGUAAGAGCUUGCUCUUACGGGUGGCGAGUGGCGGACGGGUGAGGAAUACAUCGGAAUCUACUUUUUCGUGGGGGAUAACGUAGGGAAACUUACGCUAAUACCGCAUACGACCUACGGGUGAAAGCAGGGGAUCUUCGGACCUUGCGCGAUUGAAUGAGCCGAUGUCGGAUUAGCUAGUUGGCUGGGUAAAGGCCCACCAAGGCGACGAUCCGUAGCUGGUCUGAGAGGAUGAUCAGCCACACUGGAACUGAGACACGGUCCAGACUCCUACGGGAGGCAGCAGUGGGGAAUAUUGGACAAUGGGCGCAAGCCUGAUCCAGCCAUACCGCGUGGGUGAAGAAGGCCUUCGGGUUGUAAAGCCCUUUUGUUGGGAAAGAAAAGCAGCAGGUGAAUACCCCGCUGUUCUGACGGUACCCAAAGAAUAAGCACCGGCUAACUUCGUG
rnacentral:rRNA from 1 species